GAUGAACGCUGGCGGCGUGCCUAAUACAUGCAAGUAGAACGCUGAAGGAGGAGCUUGCUCUUCUGGAUGAGUUGCGAACGGGUGAGUAACGCGUAGGUAACCUGCCUGGUAGCGGGGGAUAACUAUUGGAAACGAUAGCUAAUACCGCAUGACAACAGUUAUUGCAUGAUAACUGUUUAAAAGGGGCAACUGCUCCACUACCAGAUGGACCUGCGUUGUAUUAGCUAGUUGGUGAGGUAACGGCUCACCAAGGCGACGAUACAUAGCCGACCUGAGAGGGUGAUCGGCCCAACUGGGACUGAGACACGGCCCAGACUCCUACGGGAGGCAGCAGUAGGGAAUCUUCGGCAAUGGACGGAAGUCUGACCGAGCAACGCCGCGUGAGUGAAGAAGGUUUUCGGAUCGUAAAGCUCUGUUGUAAGAGAAGAACGAGUGUGAGAGUGGAAAGUUCACACUGUGACGGUAUCUUACCAGAAAGGGACGGCUAACUACGUG
rnacentral:rRNA from 1 species